GAUGAAGAACGUAGCGAAAUGCGAUAAGUAAUGUGAAUUGCAGAAUUCAGUGAAUCAUCGAAUCUUUGAACGCACCUUGCGCCCUUUGGACAUUCCGAAGGGCAUGCCUGUUUGAGUAUCAUGAACACCUCAACUCUCACGGCUUGUCCGUGAUGAGCUUGGACUUUGGGGGUCUUGCCGGCCUGUGGUCGGCUCCUCUCAAAUGGAUCAGCUUGCCAGUGUUUGGUGGCAUCACAGGUGUGAUAACUAUCUGCGCUUGUGGUUUUCCAUCAGAUAACCUUCAGUGAUAUGGAGGUUCGCUGGAGCUCACAAAUGUCUCUCCUUAGUGAGGACAGCUCUUUGAACGUUUGAUCUCAAAUCAGGUAGGACUACCCGCUGAACUUAAGCAUAUCAAUAAGCGGAGGGA
rnacentral:misc_RNA from 1 species